rnacentral:rRNA from 1 species
GACGAACGCUGGCGGCGUGCUUAACACAUGCAAGUCGAACGGUAAGGCCCUUCGGGGUACACGAGUGGCGAACGGGUGAGUAACACGUGGGUGAUCUGCCCUGCACGUCGGGAUAAGCCUGGGAAACUGGGUCUAAUACCGGAUAGGACCACUGCCUGCAUGGGUGGUGGUGGAAAGAUUUUGCGGUGUGGGAUGGGCCCGCGGCCGAUCAGCUUGUUGGUGGGGUGAUGGCCUACCAAGGCGACGACGGGUAGCCGGCCUGAGAGGGUGACCGGCCACACUGGGACUGAGAUACGGCCCAGACUCCUACGGGAGGCAGCAGUGGGGAAUAUUGCACAAUGGGCGCAAGCCUGAUGCAGCGACGCCGCGUGAGGGAUGACGGCCUUCGGGUUGUAAACCUCUUUCAGCACCGACGAAGCGCAAGUGACGGUAGGUGCAGAAGAAGGACCGGCCAACUACGUGCCAGCAGCCGCAGUAA